AGUGAACGCUGGCGGUAGGCCUAACACAUGCAAGUCGAACGGCAGCACAGUAAGAGCUUGCUCUUACGGGUGGCGAGUGGCGGACGGGUGAGGAAUACAUCGGAAUCUACUUUUUCGUGGGGGAUAACGUAGGGAAACUUACGCUAAUACCGCAUACGACCUACGGGUGAAAGCAGGGGAUCUUCGGACCUUGCGCGAUUGAAUGAGCCGAUGUCGGAUUAGCUAGUUUGCGGGGUAAAGGCCCACCAAGGCGACGAUCCGUAGCUGGUCUGAGAGGAUGAUCAGCCACACUGGAACUGAGACACGGUCCAGACCCCUACGGGAGGCAGCAGUGGGGAAUAUUGGACAAUGGGCGCAAGCCUGAUCCAGCCAUACCGCGUGAGUGAAGAAGGCCUUCGGGUUGUAAAGCCCUUUUGUUGGGAAAGAAAAGCAGCAGGUUAAUACCCCGCUGUUCUGACGGUACCCAAAGAAUAAGCACCGGCUAACUUCGUG
rnacentral:rRNA from 1 species